GUGCUUCGCUAUACUUUUGCCGCGCUUGUCUGCUCGGCGGAGAAACCUUACACACAGUGUCUUUUUGAUACAGAACUCUUGCUUUGGUUUGGCCUACAGAUAGGUUGGGCCAGAGGUUUAACAAAACACAAUUUAAUUAUUUUUACAGUUAGUCAAAUUUUGAAUUAAUCUUCAAAACUUUCAACAACGGAUCUCUUGGUUCUCGCAUCGAUGAAGAACGCAGCGAAAUGCGAUAAGUAAUAUGAAUUGCAGAUUUUCGUGAAUCAUCGAAUCUUUGAACGCACAUUGCGCCCUCUGGUAUUCCAGAGGGCAUGCCUGUUUGAGCGUCAUUUCUCUCUCAAACCCCCGGGUUUGGUAUUGAGUGAUACUCUUAGUCGGACUAGGCGUUUGCUUGAAAAGUAUUGGCAUGGGUAGUACUAGAUAGUGCUGUCGACCUCUCAAUGUAUUAGGUUUAUCCAACUCGUUGAAUGGUGUGGCGGGAUAUUUCUGGUAUUGUUGGCCCGGCCUUACAACAACCAAACAAGUUUGACCUCAAAUCAGGGUAGGAAUACCCGCUGAACUUAAGCAUAUCAAUAACCCGGAAGGAAG
rnacentral:rRNA from 1 species